rnacentral:rRNA from 1 species
AUUGAACGCUGGCGGAAUGCUUUACACAUGCAAGUCGAACGGCAGCACGGACUUCGGUCUGGUGGCGAGUGGCGAACGGGUGAGUAAUGUAUCGGAACGUGCCCAGUCGGGGGGGAUAACGUAGUGAAAAUUACGCUAAUACCGCAUACGAUCUAUGGAUGAAAGCGGGGGAUCGCAAGACCUCGCGCGAUUGGAGCGGCCGAUAUCAGAUUAGGUAGUUGGUGGGGUAAAGGGCCACAAAGCCAACGAUCUGUAGCUGGUCUGAGAGGACGACCAGCCACACUGGAACUGAGACACGGUCCAGACUCCUACGGGAGGCAGCAGUGGGGAAUUUUGGACAAUGGGCGAAAGCCUGAUCCAGCCAUUCCGCGUGCAGGAUGAAGGCCCUCGGGUUGUAAACUGCUUUUGUACAGAACGAAAAGGUUUCUACUAAUACUAGGAGCUCAUGACGGUACUGUAAGAAUAAGCACCGGCUAACUACGUGCCAGCCGCCGCCGUAA